rnacentral:rRNA from 1 species
ACGUAGGAAGAAAGCGUUAUGCGGAGUUACUUUGCGUAAAGGGCUUGCAGGCGGUUGGCUAAGUUCGUUGUUAAAGCGCCCAGGCUUAACCGGGCGAGGACCAUGAAGACUGGUCAGCUAGAGGACGGUAGAGGGGUGUGGAAUCCCGGGUGUAGUGGUGAAAUGUGUAGAGAUCCGGAGGAACACCAGAGGCGAAGGCGACACCCUGGGCCGUACCUGACGCUAAGACGCGACAGCACGGGGAGCGAACGG